GGGCCCAUGUGGUAGCUUGGAUCAAUCCUGAUGGUCUUCGGAACCAUCGACUCGGGUUCGAAUCCCGACGGGCCCA
rnacentral:tRNA from 1 species